GCAGUUAAGAGUAGUUACCAAAAUGUGGUGGGAGUCCAUAUUGUUAGUUGCCAAGUCUCGUUGAAUGGUAGAUGAGGAAAGGAUGGUGGCAUAUAUACAAGUAUACCCUUCACUGGAGUCUGGAAAGAGAGAUUCAGUCCCAUAUCCUCCCUCCCAAUAUACUUUUGCUUUCUGCUAGCUAUUAUUGUCUGCAAUGGAUCCACCUCCACCGCCAAGCACACCACUGCUGGCCCCACCUCCUCCACCUGCGCCUGGAUUCUUGGACUGCUGUUUGUGGUUUCUGUGCUGCUGUGGUUUGUUCAGAAGCUGCUUCCCUCCACUCUUUGAGCCUGGGCCUCCCCCUCCCUAAUGCUGCUGGCUGCGGCAUUGCUUUUUAUACAACCUUUGUUUCUAUGAGGUGUUGUUUGUGUAUGUUACGGGAAAUACCAAAAAACACAUUAAUUAGUUGACUUAAGUUUAUUAUUAUUCACACAUUUGGAUCAUCGUCUUCUUCUUUUCAACUGGUGUAACCUGAAAUUUAUUUCUCUUUUAUCCUUUCAUUCAUCACAACUCCUCAAUGUAAUAUGUAUGGCAUGCGGAUGCCUAUUUGGGUUCAAAUGUUCCAGAGAUGUCAGUUCCUCCUA